rnacentral:rRNA from 1 species
GACGAACGCUGGCGGCGUGCUUAACACAUGCAAGUCGAACGGAAAGGCCCUGCUUUUGUGGGGUGCUCGAGUGGCGAACGGGUGAGUAACACGUGAGUAACCUGCCCUUGACUUUGGGAUAACUUCAGGAAACUGGGGCUAAUACCGGAUAGGAGCUCCUGCUGCAUGGUGGGGGUUGGAACGUUUCGGCGGUUGGGGAUGGACUCGCGGCUUAUCAGCUUGUUGGUGGGGUAGUGGCUUACCAAGGCUUUGACGGGUAGCCGGCCUGAGAGGGUGACCGGCCACAGUGGGACUGGGAUACGGCCCAGACGCCUACGGGAGGCAGCAGUGGGGAAUAUUGCACAAUGGGCGGAAGCCGGAUGCAGCAACGCCGCGUGCGGGAUGACGGCCUUCGGGUUGUAAAACGAUUUCGCCUGUGACGAAGCGUGAGUGACGGUAAUGGGUAAAGAAGCACCGGCUAACUACGU